UAUUAAAAUUUUUAUCUAUUUUUACUAUUAAAAACUGAUGUUGUUGACAUACCACAUGUUUCUCAUGUAAAUGUACAAGGAUCAAUUUUUAAUAGUAGAAAUGAAUGGAAGUUUUAACA
rfam:Gossypium hirsutum cultivar TM-1 chromosome 13, whole genome shotgun sequence